AUUGAACGCUGGCGGCAGGCCUAACACAUGCAAGUCGAACGGAAACAUGUCUAGCUUGCUAGAUGAUGUCGAGUGGCGGACGGGUGAGUAAUACUUAGGAACAUGCCUUUGGGUGGGGGAUAACUAUUGGAAACGAUAGCUAAUACCGCAUAACGUCUACGGACCAAAGGGGGGAGCUUGCUCCUCUCGCCCAAAGAGUGGCCUAAGCGAGAUUAGCUUGUUGGUGGGGUAAAGGCUCACCAAGG
rnacentral:rRNA from 1 species